CACGUUGAAACACCGAUUUCAGUAUGAUCACAGAAGUUAAGCAACGUCGAGCCUUAUCAGUACCUAGAUGGGUGACCAUUUGGGAAUAUUGGGCGCGGUAA